rnacentral:rRNA from 1 species
GGAGUUAGCCGGUGCUUCUUCUGCGAGUAACGUCACAGAUGUAAGGUAUUAACUUACACCCUUUCCUCCUCGCUGAAAGUGCUUUACAACCCGAAGGCCUUCUUCACACACGCGGCAUGGCUGCAUCAGGGUUUCCCCCAUUGUGCAAUAUUCCCCACUGCUGCCUCCCGUAGGAGUCUGGGCCGUGUCUCAGUCCCAGUGUGGCUGAUCAUCCUCUCAGACCAGCUAGGGAUCGUCGCCUAGGUGAGCCUUUACCUCACCUACUAGCUAAUCCCACCUGGGCUUAUCCAUCAGCGCAAGGCCCGAAGGUCCCCUGCUUUCCCCCGUAGGGCGUAUGCGGUAUUAGCAGUCGUUUCCAACUGUUAUCCCCCACAAAUGGGCAAAUUCCCAGGCAUUACUCACCCGUCCGCCGCUCGUCAUCUUCAAAAGCAAGCUUUUGAAAUGUUACCGCUCGACUUGCAUGUGUUAGGCCUGCCGCCAGCGUUCAAUCUGAGCCAGAUCAAACUCUGA